AUACGUAGGGCGCAAGCGUUAUCCGGAAUUAUUGGGCGUAAAGAGCUCGUAGGCGGUUUGUCGCGUCUGCCGUGAAAGUCCGGGGCUCAACUCCGGAUCUGCGGUGGGUACGGGCAGACUAGAGUGAUGUAGGGGAGACUGGAAUUCCUGGUGUAGCGGUGAAAUGCGCAGAUAUCAGGAGGAACACCGAUGGCGAAGGCAGGUCUCUGGGCAUUAACUGACGCUGAGGAGCGAAAGCAUGGGGAGCGAACAGGAUUAGAUACCCUGGUAGUCCAUGCCGUAAACGUUGGGCACUAGGUGUGGGGGACAUUCCACGUUUUCCGCGCCGUAGCUAACGCAUUAAGUGCCCCGCCUGGGGAGUACGGCCGCAAGGCUAAAACUCAAAGGAAUUGACGGGGGCCCGCACAAGCGGCGGAGCAUGCGGAUUAAUUCGAUGCAACGCGAAGAACCUUACCAAGGCUUGACAUGAACCGGAAACACCUGGAGACAGGUGCCCCGCUUGCGGUCGGUUUACAGGUGGUGCAUGGUUGUCGUCAGCUCGUGUCGUGAGAUGUUGGGUUAAGUCCCGCAACGAGCGCAACCCUCGUUCUAUGUUGCCAGCACGUGAUGGUGGGGACUCAUAGGAGACUGCCGGGGUCAACUCGGAGGAAGGUGGGGACGACGUCAAAUCAUCAUGCCCCUUAUGUCUUGGGCUUCACGCAUGCUACAAUGGCCGGUACAAAGGGUUGCGAUACUGUGAGGUGGAGCUAAUCCCAAAAAGCCGGUCUCAGUUCGGAUUGGGGUCUGCAACUCGACCCCAUGAAGUCGGAGUCGCUAGUAAUCGCAGAUCAGCAACGCUGCGGUGAAUACGUUCCCGG
rnacentral:rRNA from 1 species